GGUGAAGCAAGAACUAGACCAUGUGCUCAACCAUGGAGUUAGUAUGAGGGAGGCUGGGCAGAGAGUUCAGCCCAAGCUGAGCCGCUACACGGUUGCAUCUACCAUCUAUACAUUCAGAAAUGAGAACCGCGCAACCGAAUCCGGAUGAAACAGGUCUACAGGGUGCCAUUUGAGCGAAACUGAGAGGGCUAAAGAACAGUGCUAUGAAUAUGUGCAAAGUCAUGGAGCUGGAUGCCACUGCAAUUCAGCACGUUUAUAUUUACAUUGCUGAUGCUGGCUUCAACCUAGCCAAAAGAAGGGGACGGAGACAGAACAUUAUUGGCCAUUGUGAAUGUCCAUGGACAGCGUGGAGGGAAUAUCACCAUGUCCGCAGCCAUUAGCCAGCAAGGCGUCCUCCAUCCCCAUGCCAACCUUGGUCCCUACAACACCGCCCUUCUCAUCACAUUCCUGGAAACACUACGUGGCAUCCUCAUUCCAGCCGAGCAGAGGGGUGGACCAGAGCAGCCCAGGUAUGUUGUCAUCUGGGACAACGUGAGUUUCUACCUGGCUGCUCUGGUCCGCAACUGGUUCAUCGACCACCCACAAUGUAUUGUUUUAUACGUCCCACCACAUUCCCCAUUCCUAAACCCAAAUUAAUAGUUUUUUUCAGCAUGGAGAUGGAAGGUGUAUGACCACCAUCCCCUCGCACGGAUGCCUCUUCUCCAGGCAAUGGAGGAUUGAUGUGGGGGCUUUUGGCGGCUGGAUCCGUCACUCCAGAAGAUUAUUUCCCCGCUGUUUAGCCAGGGAGAACAUCUCUUGUGAUGUAGAAUGGGUGCUGUGGCCAGACAAAUUAAAAUAGUAUUUUUUCUUACAUUUUACAUGUUUUUUUUUCUUUUUGUGCUUAGAGUUUUGAAAGAAUGAGCCACUUUCAUUUUUUAUUGUUGUACAGAAAACCCUUUAUCUUACUGAAUGUUUUUCUUGGUUUUCUCCUGUUGGGUAUGUGAAGUGUUACAUACAAAACACAAGUGUUAAAAAAUACUGCAUUUUGGAAAUAAAUGACAAUGUUUUUGUUACUGUAUUGCAUUUGUGUGUGUUUAUGUAUAGUUGAGUAGGUAUUACUGUAACAUUAUUUUACAACCGGCUACAGUGUAAUACUGAAAAUGCAGAAGGCAUAAACCUACUGAUGGAAUAUUCAUGGUAGUGUUUUGUGUUGAGCACAUCAGUGUGUUGGUUGGUAGACAGAUCUAUUCAUGACGUGUGUGUCAUUUUGAUGCAAAAAAGCAUUUUGGAAAGAACAGUUUUGAAUGCAGUGUUUGCUUUUGCUAGAGAUUUGUAGAGUUUUGGGCCAAAGAUUCAGCAAACGUGUGAAACUGUAAACCACUUUCUGUCAAAAUUAGAAAAGUGUUGUCACGUUCUGACCAUAGUUCUUUUGUGUUUUC